AGUAAAAUGCCUGAAUUUAAAGGAUUAUCUUGAUAGGAUAAAUUAUGUUGAAAAACUUUUACUA
rnacentral:tRNA from 1 species